AGAUUGAACGCUGGCGGCAUGCCUAACACAUGCAAGUCGAACGGGAGUAGCAAUACUCUAGUGGCGGACGGGUGAGGAAUACGUAGGAAUUUGCCCUUAAGUGGGGGAUAACCCGGGGAAACCCGGAUUAAUACCGCAUGACCUCGAAAGAGCAAAGUGGGGGAUCGCAAGACCUCACGCUUUUGGAGAAGCCUACGUCGGAUUAGCUAGUUGGUGAGGUAAUGGCUCACCAAGGCGACGAUCCGUAACUGGUCUGAGAGGAUGAUCAGUCACACCGGAACUGAGACACGGUCCGGACUCCUACGGGAGGCAGCAGUGGGGAAUAUUGGACAAUGGGCGCAAGCCUGAUCCAGCAAUGCCGCGUGUGUGAAGAGGCCUUCGGUUGUAAGCUACGUUUAAGUUAGGGAAGAAAAACUCGACUACGUAACACAGUGAGUCUUGACGGUACCGACAGAAUAAGACGACCGCUAACGUC
rnacentral:rRNA from 1 species